CAAGCCUCCAGUCUCAAAUUAUCCAGGAUAUCCUAAACCUGAGGAAGGAAUACUUGACAGUUUGGAUGUUUGGGUCAUUGCUGUGAUUGUUAUUGCCAUAGUUGUUGGAGUUGCAGUAAUUUGUGUUGUCCCGUACAGAUAUCUUCAAAGGAGGAAGAAGAAAGGCACAUACCUAACUGAUGAGACCCACAGAGAAGUAAAAUUUACUUCUCUCUGAGAAGGAGAGAUGAGAGAAAGGUUUGCUUUUAUCAUUAAAAGGAAAGCAGAUGGUGGAGCUGAAUAUGCCACUUACCAGACUAAAUCAACCACUCCAGCAGAGCAGAGAGGCUGAAUAGAUUCCACAACCUGGUUUGCCAGUUCAUCUUUUGACUCUAUUAAAAUCUUCAAUAGUUGUUAUUCUGUAGUUUCACUCUCAUGAGUGCAACUGUGGCUUAGCUAAUAUUGCAAUGUGGCUUGAAUGUAGGUAGCAUCCUUUGAUGCUUCUUUGAAACUUGUAUGAAUUUGGGUAUGAACAGAUUGCCUGCUUUCCCUUAAAUAACACUUAGAUUUAUUGGACCAGUCAGCACAGCAUGCCUGGUUGUAUUAAAGCAGGGAUAUGCUGUAUUUUAUAAAAUUGGCAAAAUUAGAGAAAUAUAGUUCACAAUGAAAUUAUAUUUUCUUUGUAAAGAAAGUGGCUUGAAAUCUUUUUUGUUCAAAGAUUAAUGCCAACUCUUAAGAUUAUUCUUUCACCAACUAUAGAAUGUAUUUUAUAUAUCGUUCAUUGUAAAAAGCCCUUAAAAAUAUGUGUAUACUACUUUGGCUCUUGUGCAUAAAAACAAGAACACUGAAAAUUGGGAAUAUGCACAAACUUGGCUUCUUUAACCAAGAAUAUUAUUGGAAAAUUCUCUAAAAGUUAAUAGGGUAAAUUCUCUAUUUUUUGUAAUGUGUUCGGUGAUUUCAGAAAGCUAGAAAGUGUAUGUGUGGCAUUUGUUUUCACUUUUUAAAACAUCCCUAACUGAUCGAAUAUAUCAGUAAUUUCAGAAUCAGAUGCAUCCUUUCAUAAGAAGUGAGAGGACUCUGACAGCCAUAACAGGAGUGCCACUUCAUGGUGCGAAGUGAACACUGUAGUCUUGUUGUUUUCCCAAAGAGAACUCCGUAUGUUCUCUUAGGUUGAGUAACCCACUCUGAAUUCUGGUUACAUGUGUUUUUCUCUCCCUCCUUAAAUAAAGAGAGGGGUUAAACAUGCCCUCUAAAAGUAGGUGGUUUUGAAGAGAAUAAAUUCAUCAGAUAACCUCAAGUCACAUGAGAAUCUUAGUCCAUUUACAUUGCCUUGGCUAGUAAAAGCCAUCUAUGUAUAUGUCUUACCUCAUCUCCUAAAAGGCAGAGUACAAAGUAAGCCAUGUAUCUCAGGAAGGUAACUUCAUUUUGUCUAUUUGCUGUUGAUUGUACCAAGGGAUGGAAGAAGUAAAUAUAGCUCAGGUAGCACUUUAUACUCAGGCAGAUCUCAGCCCUCUACUGAGUCCCUUAGCCAAGCAGUUUCUUUCAAAGAAGCCAGCAGGCGAAAAGCAGGGACUGCCACUGCAUUUCAUAUCACACUGUUAAAAGUUGUGUUUUGAAAUUUUAUGUUUAGUUGCACAAAUUGGGCCAAAGAAACAUUGCCUUGAGGAAGAUAUGAUUGGAAAAUCAAGAGUGUAGAAGAAUAAAUACUGUUUUACUGUCCAAAGACAUGUUUAUAGUGCUCUGUAAAUGUUCCUUUCCUUUGUAGUCUCUGGCAAGAUGCUUUAGGAAGAUAAAAGUUUGAGGAGAACAAACAGGAAUUCUGAAUUAAGCACAGAGUUGAAGUUUAUACCCGUUUCACAUGCUUUUCAAGAAUGUCGCAAUUACUAAGAAGCAGAUAAUGGUGUUUUUUAGAAACCUAAUUGAAGUAUAUUCAACCAAAUACUUUAAUGUAUAAAAUAAAUAUUAUACAAUAUACUUGUAUAGCAGUUUCUGCUUCACAUUUGAUUUUUUCAAAUUUAAUAUUUAUAUUAGAGAUCUAUAUAUGUAUAAAUAUGUAUUUUGUCAAAUUUGUUACUUAAAUAUAUAGAGACCAGUUUUCUCUGGAAGUUUGUUUAAAUGACAGAAGCGUAUAUGAAUUCAAGAAAAUUUAAGCUGCAAAAAUGUAUUUGCUAUAAAAUGAGAAGUCUCACUGAUAGAGGUUCUUUAUUGCUCAUUUUUUAAAAAAUGGACUCUUGAAAUCUGUUAAAAUAAAAUUGUACAUUUGG
rnacentral:lncRNA from 1 species